ACGAACGCUGGCGGCACGCUUAACACAUGCAAGUCGAACGAGAGAAGAGAAGCUUGCUUUUCUGAUCUAGUGGCGGACGGGUGAGUAACACGUGAGCAAUCUGCCUUUCAGAGGGGGAUACCGAUUGGAAACGAUCGUUAAUACCGCAUAACAUAAUUGAACCGCAUGAUUUGAUUAUCAAAGAUUUAUCGCUGAAAGAUGAGCUCGCGUCUGAUUAGCUAGUUGGUAAGGUAACGGCUUACCAAGGCGACGAUCAGUAGCCGGACUGAGAGGUUGAUCGGCCACAUUGGGACUGAGACACGGCCCAGACUCCUACGGGAGGCAGCAGUGGGGAAUAUUGCACAAUGGAGGAAACUCUGAUGCAGCGAUGCCGCGUGAGGGAAGAAGGUUUUAGGAUUGUAAACCUCUGUCUUCAGGGACGAAAAAAGACGGUACCUGAGGAGGAAGCUCCGGCUAACUACGUGCCAGCAGCCGCGGUAAUACGUAGGGAGCGAGCGUUGUCCGGAAUUACUGGGUGUAAAGGGAGCGUAGGCGGGAUCGCAAGUCAGAUGUGAAAACUAUGGGCUUAACCCAUAAACUGCAUUUGAAACUGUGGUUCUUGAGUGAAGUAGAGGUAAGCGGAAUUCCUAGUGUAGCGGUGAAAUGCGUAGAUAUUAGGAGGAACAUCAGUGGCGAAGGCGGCUUACUGGGCUUUAACUGACGCUGAGGCUCGAAAGCGUGGGGAGCAAACAGGAUUAGAUACCCUGGUAGUCCACGCCGUAAACGAUGAUUACUAGGUGUGGGGGGACUGACCCCUUCCGUGCCGCAGCAAACGCAAUAAGUAAUCCACCUGGGGAGUACGACCGCAAGGUUGAAACUCAAAGGAAUUGACGGGGGCCCGCACAAGCAGUGGAGUAUGUGGAUUAAUUCGAAGCAACGCGAAGAACCUUACCAGGUCUUGACAUCCCGAUGACCGGUCCGUAACGGGGCCUUCUCUUCGGAGCAUUGGAGACAGGUGGUGCAUGGUUGUCGUCAGCUCGUGUCGUGAGAUGUUGGGUUAAGUCCCGCAACGAGCGCAACCCUUACUGUUAGUUGCUACGCAAGAGCACUCUAGCAGGACUGCCGUUGACAAAACGGAGGAAGGUGGGGAUGACGUCAAAUCAUCAUGCCCCUUAUGACCUGGGCCUCACACGUACUACAAUGGCUGUUAACAGAGGGAUGCAAAGCCGCGAGGUGGAGCGAACCCCUAAAAGCAGUCUUAGUUCGGAUUGUAGGCUGCAACCCGCCUACAUGAAGUCGGAAUUGCUAGUAAUCGCAGAUCAGCAUGCUGCGGUGAAUACGUUCCCGGGCCUUGUACACACCGCCCGUCACGCCAUGGGAGUCGGUAACACCCGAAGCCUGUAGUCUAACCGCAAGGAGGACGCAGUCGAAGGUGGGAUUGAUGACUGGGGUG
rnacentral:rRNA from 1 species